rnacentral:rRNA from 1 species
CUGCUGCCUCCCGUAGGAGUCUGGGCCGUAUCUCAGUCCCAAUGUGGCCGUUCAACCUCUCAGUCCGGCUACUGAUCGUCGACUUGGUAGGCCUUUACCCCACCAACUAUCUAAUCAGACGCAAGCCCAUCUAUUAGCGGAUUUCUCCUUUCUUAUUCCUACCAUGCAGUUGGAAUAAGUUAUGCGGUAUUAGCAAUGAUUUCUCAUUGUUAUUCCCCUCUAAUAGGCAGGUUGCUUACGUGUUACUCA